GUUUGAUCCUGGCUCAGGACGAACGCUGGCGGCGUGCUUAACACAUGCAAGUCGAACGAGGCGCUUGCGCCUAGUGGCGAACGGGUGAGUAACACGUGAGCAACCUGCCCUUGGCUCUGGGAUAGCCUCCGGAAAACGGGGAUUAAUACCGGACAUGACCUGCUUCGGCAUCGGAGCGGGUGGAAAGUUUUUCGGCCAGGGAUGGGCUCGCGGCCUAUCAGCUUGGUUGGGGGGGUAACGGCCCACCAAGGCGACGACGGGUAGCCGGCCUGAGAGGGCGACCGGCCACACUGGGACUGAGACACGGCCCAGACUCCUACGGGAGGCAGCAGUGGGGAAUAUUGCGCAAUGGGGGAAACCCUGACGCAGCGACGCCGCGUGCGGGAUGAAGGCCUUCGGGUUGUAAACCGCUUUCACCAGGGACGAAGCGAGAGUGACGGUACCGUGGGGAAGAAGCGCCGGCUAACUACGUGCCAGCAGCCGCGGUAAUACGUAGGGCGCGAGCGUUGUCCGGAAUUAGUUGGGCGUAAAGAGCUCGUAGGCGGCCUGUUGCGUCUGCUGUGAAAUCCCGGGGCUUAACCCCGGGCGUGCAGUGGAUACGGGCUGGCUGGAGGCAGGCAGGGGAGAACGGAAUUCCCGGUGUAGCGGUGAAAUGCGCAGAUAUCGGGAGGAACACCGGUGGCGAAGGCGGUUCUCUGGGCCUGUUCUGACGCUGAGGAGCGAAAGCGUGGGGAGCGAACAGGAUUAGAUACCCUGGUAGUCCACGCCGUAAACGUUGGGCGCUAGGUGUGGGUCCCUUCCACGGGGUCUGUGCCGCAGCUAACGCAUUAAGCGCCCCGCCUGGGGAGUACGGCCGCAAGGCUAAAACUCAAAGGAAUUGACGGGGNCCGCACAAGCGGCGGAGCAUGUUGCUUAAUUCGACGCACGCGAAGACCUACCAAGCUUGACAUGGCCUCAAAAGCCG
rnacentral:rRNA from 1 species